rnacentral:rRNA from 1 species
UACGGAGGGUGCAAGCGUUAUCCGGAUUCACUGGGUUUAAAGGGUGCGUAGGUGGGCUGGUAAGUCAGUGGUGAAAUCUCCAGGCUUAACUUGGGAACUGCCAUUGAUACUAUCAGUCUUGAAUACCGUGGAGGUCAGCGGAAUAUGUCAUGUAGCGGUGAAAUGCUUAGAUAUGACAUAGAACACCAAUUGCGAAGGCAGCUGGCUACACGAAUAUUGACACUGAUGCACGAAAGCGUGGGGAUCAAACAGG